UCAGAGCAGUUGGUAGGUCCAUUCGUUUGGGAGAAUUUCACCAGUUUUCUGUCUAUUUUUUUAAGUAAAAUAAAAUGGUUCUUCUAGAAUAAAAAUUAGGGUACUGUUAAAAUAUUUCACCAAAUUCUAAAUUGGCGUUGAAAUGGUUGAUGUUGAAUUUGGACUGAGUUCUUCAAUUUAAAGUGAUUAAUAAAAGAAGAAAAACAAAACUAAAACUUGACUUGCGGACUCGUAACCACAGUUAAAAAUAUAUUAAAUAAACAUAGGCGGAGAGUCAGAUAGUUCUGGUGGAGUAAAUUAUGGAUUCCAUCAUUUGUUAUGAUUGCUUAUUCAUUCAAAAAACAGGGAAAGAAACAUCCUUUCGCCGUACACACUUUCUCCCCCCACCCGCGCAUUGAAAAACACACAUUGUAAUCGAAUUUGCAAUUUUUUAGACACAAAAGCCUCUCAACCGGUCGUGGUCGUGGGGCGAGGGGUGUUUUCAGUUAUUUGUGAUAUUUUAACUGUAAAAAUUCACCAACAAAGCAAAAAAUAAACAUAUUUAUAAAGUUGUUCACAAUUUUGUGAAUUCCAAUUUAGCCAACUGUAUGAGUGCUUCCAUGGAAUCCGCAUGUCAAAAGGUUUCCGAUCUCAGAAUUUCAUACAAACAAACAGGAGAUGUUAAGCUUCAUAGGGUCGAGGCAAAAAGAAAAAAACUGCAACAAAAAUACUUCAAAUUAAGGGGGAAAAGUGCGAAUGUCCGCUUUUUUGAGGGUGGACAAUUACAGUUAUAUGUGCAAAUGUGAAAAUAUAUAAAUAUGUGUGAAUAUAGAUGCGGUUAACCACGAAAUUGACAUUAGUGGAAAGAUAUUCCUUCUUAUUUUUCAGAAAAUAUUACCGAGUUAUUCCGAAAAUAUUUUAAGCCACUGAGAAAUACAAAUAAGAAACUCAAAUAAAUAAAUGAAAAUACUAGAAAUAUGGGAGAGCAAAGAAAAUUAAAGAAUAAAGAAUUGUGCAAAAACUUUCUUUGCUUACGCUUGUUUUUCUUCGCCGAAAUCAAAUCAAUUUUGGAAAUAAUUUAUUUGAGAAUCGUUGCAGUCGAAUAAAAUAAAUAGAUUACCCUUUAAUUGUCAUUAAUUUAAUACUCAGACUAGUUUGAACUGCAACCAGACAAUUCUGGUAGAAAGCUGGUAUUUUUGCGGACCCACUGCUGGGUAACUGGAUCAAUUUAUGCGAUUACAAGGUCCGCGGUCAUUUACGAUACAAAAACAUUGAUCAUUUAGUUAGUUAAUUGCUUAUAAAUAUCUGAUUACUACUGAUUAAAUUACACGGUUUCUUAUGACAAACUUAGCAUUAUGGCAUUGCAAAUGCGUUAACACACAAGUUAUUAAAUCGAAGUCAAUUAAAUUAGUAAUCGACUACAUGUACAAUAUUAUUUUAUGGAUAUUUGGAUAUUUGUUAGACCGGGGCUUCACAAACAAAAUAUUGUUAUUCUCGCUAAAAUAAUAAUUUCAAAUGUUUUCCCAUUUUUUGUGGAUACAGAAGUGUAUCAGUGUGUGUAUGUAUGUAUUUCAAUAAAAAAUAUGAAGCUUUCUCAGGGCAUUAACAUGGGAUGAAGCACAAAUUUAUUAUUUAUCCUUUUGUGUACAUACAAUUGUAAGCCUCAGCAGAAGUGUGUGUGUGUGUGUGUGUGUGGACAGCUCAUUGUUAUGCCCAACAAUGCUCGAAAAGCUGAUUUUUCAUUUUGACACAACUUAUGAAUGUGAACUAAUAGAUACAUAAAAUCUAUGUUCGCAGCAUACUUCCUUCUUCUUUUUCUAUUUCUAUUACAUAGCGUCUACAUACAAAUAUGGAGAUUACUGCAUACUACAUAUGUAUAAGUAUACAUGUGUAUGUAUGUGGAUGUGUCGGAAUCGACUUUACAAAUAUGUAAGUCUGUGUGUGAAUAUGUGUGAUUGCAGUACAGUCAGUCGUGACACGAAAUUCAUCAUCUGGAAGAAAAAUAUGUUCACUCAAAUUCAUGAUGUGGGCAACUAACUAACAGUACUCGACUUGGUCGUCAGGCUGUCAUUAGAGAGGGUGUAUGCAUUUCACACCCCAUGCUAGAAAACGUGAGAGGUGUGCAAACUAGACUCGAUAACGGUUUUGGUAAUUGAAUAACUUUUUUUGGACGAGAAAAUGUAAAAUACGAACCACCGGCAUGAAACAUUCCAAUCAAUAUUGGUCUCCCAAAAUGAAGAGCACAACAAAAAUGUAUCAUUGAUAACGUUUUCUUCAGAAUUUUCGAGUAACAAAGUUUCUUUUUUAACAAGGAACCGGAGAGAUUUCGAAUUUCGAUUUCGAGAUUUCGAAGAGCAACGAGUUUAAGUGUGAGCAGAUUGUAAAGCUAUUACAUACAGGUACGUAUGCUCUGCUAUUUAACUCUUCCAAUAAAAAUGUUACUGUAAUUUCAUAUUUGUAUUCCGGACCACAUAUAAAUAUAGUAACUUCAGAGCCUACAUUGCCAUUAGAUUUGCCGAGAGCGGAUAAUUGUACUGUAUCACAAUAAUUUCGCAUUUGCGGAUCUAAAACGCCGUAAGAAUAAUUCAUUCUUUGGAACGCUGCAGCCUGGACCAACUGAUGCGUUCACAAGCGGCAUUGGUAAUUUGGCAUAUGAGCAAUCACACCCAUGCACACACAUGCCGGCCGUUGGAACACCGUUCUAUCCCCACAGGACAUUAGAGAACAAGAAAGUACAAAAGCGUAGAAUGGGCAAGUGGAAAACUUUUUGUCACUCGGGGGUUCGUGCGAUACGACUGUGUGCGUAAGUGAGUGCGGCAUGAAGAAAUGUAGCAACCAAAUCGCCAUUAUACAUACGUGUAACUACGACUGCGGUUAUUCCGAAAUCUUUCAAAGAAAUGCCGUUGAGUUUCGUCUUGAAUAUGAAAUGGCUUGGAAAAGAAAAAUUGUGCCUCAGCCACCUCACAAAUUAUUUUCCACACACUCACACGCAUACCAACAUACCCACUUUGCAUUCGUUUUUUGUCAGCAUUUCGAGUGUUCGAAUUAUCGUAUUAUUAAAAUAGCAGACAAGGGACGCGCUUGCUUAAAAAGUGGAUCUCAAACCUUUAGCAAGCGGGAAUAAUAUACAAUAACAAUAACAAAGAAAAUCACUUUCAAAAUUGGUUAUUGUUAACGCAUAAAAUCGUUCAACCUUCUCACUGCUUAUAGAUACCAGGAUUCUCAUUCUCACUCAAGGAAUAUUAUUAUAAUAAUAGCCGACGUGAUUCGGCGUUCAUUCGAGGAGCCAAACCAUAGAUAUUGAAUCGGAUAUGUGUAUAUAAACUAGAAAGAGGAUAGCGCACUUGAAAGAGAGAGCAGAGGUCCAACACAACGUCCUGAGAAUCAAAGUCACCUAAUAUUGGUGGUCGCCAUAUCCGAGUCUGUUGAAGCAGUGCUUGCAGUGAUGAUCAGAGUCAUUAGAACUUGGAACAUAAGCAGGUUUUAACAUUGAUGCAAACUUCGAAGGAAGGAAAUAUUUUUGCCAUACAAAGAAAGCUUUCUGGACAAAUUCGGUAAAUUUUUCAAAGAUUUUAAAAUUCAUUGCGUAAACGGUUGUGCACAUAUAUACAUGGGUAUUAUGUAGCUUUUAUAAUACAUAUAUACCAUGUAUCUACAUAUACAUAUGUAUGUAUGUAUGUACAUUUGACAUGAAGCAAUUUACUGAAAUAAAAAUCAACUUCAAAUCUUUUAUUUCCAAUUCAAUUGCGAUAAAAAGCGAAAUAAGCCGAACAAAAUGGAAUGAGAGGUGAACUACAAGAGAAUCAAGAGAAUUCCAAACGAGAUUGAAAGUUAUUUCUUUCGACCGUGCGGAGGACUGGGGAAGUCUGGUCAUUACUUUUUACUUUUUACUUCCACGCAUUCGCACACUUUCAACUCACUUCCUAAGAUUCACAUCGAACUUUUGUUUACAAUUUUACACACACAACAUACAUAAGUUCAUAUGUAUGUAUGAAUGUUACCUAAAAAAUCGCCCACAUAAAAGGAAUGCGCUGCGAUGGAGAAUGUACUCGAAUGUACAUGUGUGUGAGUGUGUGCGUGUUUACAUAUGAAUUGGGAAAACGAAAAAGUGUAAUUUUAAACUUAGCCUCCAAAUAAAAAUAAAAUGGCCGAGCUGUGGGCUUUUGUUGCUGCGUCAGUGGACAUCAGAGGCGACAAGCAUCUGCAACGAACUGAAAAUCGUGUAUAUGGUCACUUGGACAUAUGUAUGUGUGUUCGCCGUGAGCUUCAGACGAAAUUGUAAAUGCGUUGUAAAAUUGUAAGGGUGGACGCAUGGUUGCUGCUGCUGCCGCCGCUGGUAAUUGGACUGGGGUGAAGGAGAUUAGGUACAUUUUCUCAAAUUUUCGUCGUGGUGGAGGCUACAUGCGUCGGCAGCAUUUGAGUAUGUGUGUGUGUGUGUAAUUGGCGCGUGCCUG